rnacentral:lncRNA from 11 species
GUUUCUUUGUUUGGGACGUAAUAAGGUCGCUAUUGAAAACGUAAUCGUACACGCUUGACCGGCGGGUAUCCCUAUACCUCCACUCCUCGUACCUACCAUAAACCGUGGCGAUAAAUAAAUCGAGGUAUCAGUUUAGUCUUGGAGAUCGAAGCGGUUGGACGUUAGGUUAGUACACAUUUUGGUAGACACAUUUGCCGGUAAACUCGUUUCAUUAUUGGUUGAUCACAUGUAUUCAAAUACAUAUUACGAUGAUCGAUCACGGAUCUGGAAAAUAUUCAUACAGAUAUGGUUUUUCACUCCUUUACUC